AUUGAACGCUGGCGGCAGGCCUAACACAUUCAAGUCGAACGAGUUGCGGACGGGUGAGCAAUGUCUGGGAACCUUCCCGAUUGGGGGGGAUAACUACUGGAAACGUUAGCUAAUACCGCUUACCAUCUGAUGUGCCCCGAUGGGAUUAGCUAGUAGGUGGGGUAACGGUUCACCUCGGCCACGAUUCCUAGCUGGUCUGAGAGGAUGACGAGCCACCCUGGAACUGAGACACGGUCCAGAGUCUUACGGGAGGCAGCAGUGGGGAAUAUUUGACAAUGGGCGCAAGCCUGAUGCAGCCAUGCCGCGUGUAUGAAGAAGGCCGUCGGGUUGUAAAGUAAUCUCAGCGAGGAGGCUUUACUCGCAGAAGAAGCAACGGCUAACCCCGGGCCAGCAGCCGCGGUAAUAC
rnacentral:rRNA from 1 species